rnacentral:rRNA from 1 species
AGAGUUUGAUCCUGGCUCAGGAUGAACGCUAGCGACAGGCUUAACACAUGCAAGUCGAGGGGCAGCACAGGUAGCAAUACCGGGUGGCGACCGGCGCACGGGUGAGUAACGCGUAUGCAACUUGCCUAUCAGAGGGGGAUAACCCGGCGAAAGUCGGACUAAUACCGCAUGAAGCAGGGAUCCCGCAUGGGAAUAUUUGCUAAAGAUUCAUCGCUGAUAGAUAGGCAUGCGUUCCAUUAGGCAGUUGGCGGGGUAACGGCCCACCAAACCGACGAUGGAUAGGGGUUCUGAGAGGAAGGUCCCCCACAUUGGUACUGAGACACGGACCAAACUCCUACGGGAGGCAGCAGUGAGGAAUAUUGGUCAAUGGCCGAGAGGCUGAACCAGCCAAGUCGCGUGAGGGAUGAAGGUUCUAUGGAUCGUAAACCUCUUUUAUAAGGGAAUAAAGUGCGGGACGUGUCCCGUUUUGUAUGUACCUUAUGAAUAAGGAUCGGCUAACUCCGUGCCAGCAGCCGCGGUAAUACGGAGGAUCCGAGCGUUAUCCGGAUUUAUUGGGUUUAAAGGGUGCGUAGGCGGCCUUUUAAGUCAGCGGUGAAAGUCUGUGGCUCAACCAUAGAAUUGCCGUUGAAACUGGGGGGCUUGAGUAUGUUUGAGGCAGGCGGAAUGCGUGGUGUAGCGGUGAAAUGCAUAGAUAUCACGCAGAACCCCGAUUGCGAAGGCAGCCUGCCAAGCCAUUACUGACGCUGAUGCACGAAAGCGUGGGGAUCAAACAGGAUUAGAUACCCUGGUAGUCCACGCAGUAAACGAUGAUCACUAGCUGUUUGCGAUACAUUGUAAGCGGCACAGCGAAAGCGUUAAGUGAUCCACCUGGGGAGUACGCCGGCAACGGUGAAACUCAAAGGAAUUGACGGGGGCCCGCACAAGCGGAGGAACAUGUGGUUUAAUUCGAUGAUACGCGAGGA